ensembl:lncRNA
GCGACUACAAAUCACCACAUGGACGUAUUAAAAAGGAAACAACAUCUUCAAAGCAGCAAACAACACCCUAAAAACGGCCACCUGGAGAUCUGGAUCGUGCAGUAAGGUCAGCCCUCCGGUGGACGGCUGACCUGUUCAGGAUGAACUUCACCUUUCAUCCAUAUCCAGCUGGGAUAAUCUGCAGGCCUCCACGAGCCUCGACAGGAUGAUGCAGGUGGCGGGCAUUUUGGAGAGAGAGAGAGAGAGAGAGAGGAAAGGGAAGAAGAAGAAGAAGGCAGGGAGGGGAAGAGGAGGACGAGGCGAGGAGGGGGAGGCGUGUGUUCAAAAUCCACAAAGGUUUUGUAAUAAAUGCAUCGGCGACAAUAAAAACA